GCGUGGGGCCAUCUGAGCCAAACAGAAUAGAGGGCUUGGACACAGCCCAGGGUGUGAGUUGAACUCUGAAUGUCAAGACCAGUCCUGGGUGAGGAAACUGAAGCUCUGAGAGCAGUAGCUCCCCUGAGCUGUGCAGCUGGAGAGUGCUGCGCUGACGGCAGAGCUGGGGCUCUUUGCAGGUGCCCAGAGGAAGGGUUUGCUCCCCUUGCCGAGUUUCCUCAUGCUCACUUCCACCCCCAGCCCUCAGUCCCAUUUUCCACUGCUUUGGUCAGGGAGUGAGUCCCCUGAUGUCAUCCGAGGAUAUGAGGCAUCUCUAAAUCUGGCCGUCCCCUGAAGCACCCAGCCUCACCGACUUCCUGAAGCAUGGGUGAAUGCUGCUGCCACAAAUGUGCUGUGACAGCCGCUGACAAGGAGAGCGAGUGAUGUUUGUGCCAUCCUGCUGAGCAUGAGGGAGCUGCUUGGGGAAGCCAGGGGCUGGGGCAUCUCAAUAGAACUGAGGGCAGCCUCGGGGAGCUUCACAGUACGCCCACCCCCAGAUCACUGCUGAUUCUGGGGGAUGCUUGACAGAGCUUUCUGACCUUGAACUUCCCUUUGGCUGCUAAACUGAAUGAAGCCUCCUUCC